rnacentral:rRNA from 1 species
AUGGCCACGCUGUCUCCACCCGAGACUCAGUGAAAUUGAAAUCGCUGUGAAGAUGCAGUGUACCCGCGGCUAGACGGAAAGACCCCGUGAACCUUUACUACAGCUUGGCACUGAACAUUGAACCUACAUGUGUAGGAUAGGUGGGAGGCUAUGAAGACGUGACGCCAGUUGCGUUGGAGCCGUCCUUGAAAUACCACCCUUGUAUGUUUGAUGUUCUAACUUAGACCCAUUAUCUGGGUUGAGGACAGUGCCUGGUGGGUAGUUUGACUGGGGCGGUCUCCUCCCAAAGAGUAACGGAGGAGCACGAAGGUGGGCUAAUCACGGUUGGACAUCGUGAGG